rnacentral:ncRNA from 2 species
AAUACAGGAAUAUGCAGUUGUGAAAUAGAUAUUUUUCUGGAAGUCCGGUUAGAUUCCGGCACGGCUUAUCCCCGCUGUAAUGAGAACGGACACUGUCAGAUCCACUGGAAAACUGGGAAGGGACAGCAAGUAGGUAUGAACUCUGAGUCAGAAUACAGUCAAUUGCAUAUAGAUACUA